rnacentral:rRNA from 1 species
UACGAAGGGGGCUAGCGUUGUUCGGAUUUACUGGGCGUAAAGCGCGUGUAGGCGGGUCGUUAAGUUGGGGGUGAAAUCCCGAGGCUCAACCUCGGAACUGCCUUCAAAACUGGCGACCUGGACUCAAGUAGAGGCAAGUGGAAUUGCGAGUGUAGAGGUGAAAUUCGUAGAUAUUCGCAGGAACACCAGUGGCGAAGGCGGCUUCCUGGACCGACACUGACGCUGAGGCGCGAAAGCUAGGGGAGCAAACGGG